UCUUGACCAGUUCAUUGGAUGUGGGAAGACUCUGAAAGUGGACUGCACCUUUCCCUGGUCUGGGGCUCCAGACCAUAGAGUAGACAAAGCUGAGUACUAAGCAUGAAUGCUUUCAUUUCUCUCUGCCUUGACUGCGGAUGUGAUAUAACUGGCUGUUGAAUUCUUGCUGCAUUGACUUCCCUGCUGCAACGGAAUGUAACUUGGAAUUAGAGCUCCCAGCUUCAGACCGACACUUCCUGCUGUCUCCUGCUUUCAAUUGGGAGGAUGGAAAAUGUUCCUGAAACUGUUGAUGACACGACACGGCCAAGACGGAGUGAGAACAUUCCAGAGCCACCAGCACGCGGGCAAUGACUCUCUCCUCUGCAGGGAAGGCGGGCGAAGGCAAGGACGUUUAAAGGCAGCACUUUGUAGGUGUGCUGGGAGCACACGCCUACUCUGAGUAGUCCAAUUAAGGAAGGCGCCAGCUUGCAGACUCUCUUCUUAGGUCUUAUUUGCCGUAAACAGCCAGGGUACCUCUCUGAGAGGCUUCCACCGGGUGACUGUUACCCUGGCCAUGAGUUAGUUCCCUCGACGCCACGACUCACGUUCACUUUGUGCUCUUCUACCAUACUCAGACACGCUGAUUCUUCCACAUGUGUAUGCACACGCACUCAGCUCUUCUCUGAGACUCUGUCUCCCCUCGUUCUCAAGUCCCAUCCCUAUCUACUCUGGCAGUCCAGCUCGCAUUCUUUCCUGCUGAC